rnacentral:rRNA from 1 species
UGUGAAUUGCAUCCAAGUAACUCUAAUUUACGAAUAACACCAAGUGAAUCAUCGAGUCUUUGAACGCAAUUGCGCCCUCUCGGUUGCUUCCAAUKGGGGGUUGACUCAUAGGGGGUACAUCUGUUUGAGGGUCAUUUGAAUCUCUCAAAGGGUUGGUUUUAAUCUGUCCUUUGGAUUUVGGGUCUUGCUGUGAAAUUCAUCUCAGCUUACCUUGAAAGCAUUAGCAAGCUGUUCCAGGUCUUUUCUUGAUGAGGGCAUUCUAACUGGUCGGGUCUAAAGAGCUUCAUUGGUUGAAUCUCAAGCAUUCACCGAAUUGGUCUUGAGUGGUGCUUUCAAUGAUCCAUGAUAAAUGUCUCAAUCACAAAAAGUCUCAAUGUGAUUCAAACUUGCUUCUAAUCAUCCCAUAGAGGGGAUGGGCUCUCAAUGAGCUCUUUCAAAAAAGAAACUCAAUGACCUCAAAUCAGAUGAGAAUACCCGCUGAACUUAAGCAUAUCAAUAAGCGGAGGAAAAGAAACUAACAAGGAUUCCCUCAGUAACGGYGAGUGAAGAGGGAAGAGCUCAGUUUUGAAAUCUGGCAGUCAUUCCACUGUCCGAGUUGUAAAUUGAAGAGAAUGUCAUCCACACUGGACCAUGUCUAAAUUGUAAUAAUCCACAGUCCUUUGAUGGAGUAUCAGAGAGGGUAAUAAUCCCGUCUUUAACGUGGACCACCAGUGUUUAUGUGAUGCACUCUCUCAGAGUCGAGUAGUUUGGGAAUGCUGCUCUAAUGGGAGGUAAACUCCUUCUAAAGCUAAAUAUUGGCGAGAGACCGAUAGCGAACAAGUACCGUGAGGGAAAGAUGACAAAGAACUCUGAAAAGAGAGUCAMACAGAACGUGAAAUUGCUGAAAGGGAAGCGUUUGGAGUCAGAUGCAUCCUCMAUGUAAUACGGCUCAGUUGGCAGAGACUGAGAGCAGUGACUUGAAGAUGGGCCAGCACUCACGUAGAUCAUUGGAGAGGGGGUCAUGGAAUGUAGCUCAAUUCUUGAGUGUUUAUAGACUUGAUUCAUAUACAAUGUGUCUUAUGUGUGUUAAUUGACAGCACGAGUCUGAC